AAAUAAGCGUCCGUUCCCACCACCCACCUUCAGGGCUAAAACUGAAAAAUCAGUGCGCUGCGCUCCACAACCAUACCAAAACAAACCAAUACCAACUCAAACCCACCCUCAUAUCCUCCCACAUCUUCCCUGCGCUUCUCCGUCCCACAGAACCCAGCGGCCCCGGCUUCGCGCCACCGCAGCUGGCAUCUUCUAGGCGCAACGCAUGCGCCUAACCUCUAGGUUCUUUACCGCGGGGCGGUCUCAGGGCCGACCCGAACUACAAUUCCCAGCAUCCUGCGCGGCGCGGGGAAGGAAGCCUGAGAAUGAGAGAAAGAGGCUCCGGGGGAUAGCGGGCCAGUGAGGGCCGCUCCUCCUUUGAAGCGGUUUUGCGUCUUUUUCCGCCGGUGGCGUCGGCGCUCACGCAGGGGCGGGUCCCGGUAGCGCGAGGCAGUGCAGGGCGGGAAGGGGAGUCGUGGCGGCCGGGGCGGCAGGGACAGCGGCAGCGGCGACGGCGGCAGGGACAGCAGGCGCGGUGGUGCUGUCAGCGCGGCCGUCGGAGAAAUGGGAGACCCGGGGUCGGAGAUAAUAGAAUCUGCCCCUCCAGCUGGCCCUGAGGCAUCUGAGUCAAAAACGGAUGAAACUGAGGACGACAUUCAGUUUGUCAGUGAAGGACCAUUACGACCUGUUCUUGAAUACAUUGAUCUAGUCAGCAGUGAUGAUGAAGAGCCUAGCACCUCUCAUACAGAUAGAAUGCCUGAAUCUAAGGUGCCAUCCUCUGAGAAUCAUCGCCCAGAAAUGUGCUCUAGCUGCAAUGUUCCUCUUCCCAUUGGAGAUAGCAGCUCCUUCUCUGGGAGUUGUUCCAGCAGUCCAGAAAGGAUAGUUUCUCAAACUUCCUCUGUUGAGAACCCAUUGGAGAACCAGAAAAAUGAUCAAAAUAAUUCAGAUACUAAGAUCUCUGAGACACAGACCCUUAAAUCAUCACAGAAUUUUCACACUCUGCCUUCAUCUCCACUUCUGGUCCCCCAGGAAUCUUUGUCCUCUUCUGAGGUCAAAGAGAAUUUAUAUAUAGAUUCUUCUUCAGCUUCACAGCAUGGACAGGAUGCCAUCCUCUAUCUCCAGACACAAGUAGCUGAGAUGUCCCGAGUCAUACGUGAUCUGCAGUCCAGGAGCUGUUUUAGAUUUCAUCAUUCUAGGCCAAAUGAGAAUUCCUCAGUUCCUUGGGACAUCUCCACCUCUAAGGAGGAAAGUUUAUCCACAGUUGAAGAAGAAACUGAUUACAAAUCACCAACAACUGAUGACAAAGGGCAGCCAUCUGACCCCAGCCAAUCUAGUUUCACAGGUCUUUUGAAGAGAAUGGAACAAAGAGGUGUUAUAAAAAGGGUGACAUUACAAUCAGAAGCGGAAUCAUGUGAAGGGAAACCUGAUUGUGUGAACUCUAAAAAACGUUUGGUUCCUCCAUUACAUCCUCUUCUGAGAAUUGCCACCACUGAGGUUUUUAAAGACCCUGCUGAUUGUCAUCCUUCUUCCUUCAUGGGACAUAGAGUAUAUCCUGUGGCCAAGGACACCUCUCCUUUUCAACCAAACCCACCAGCUGAAGGCCCCAUUGUAGAAGCAUUAGAACACAGCAAAAGAGGAAACACAACAUCCCCUCUAGAUUCUACCUCAAAAGAAAUGGAAGUCAUGGGUUGUAGAUUUUACCAUGCUGCCUCAAUUGCAGCUCGAGCUGCUAGCUACAUGGCUUAUAUGACUCAGUAUCAGCGUAAACUCUGGGAAGACAUGGAAGAUCUGGUUCAUGACCCAGAGUUUGAUCGUGGAAAAGCAAGAUGUAUUAUAUCUGAUGGUAUGGAUGCAGGCCUUUGGCAACUUUGUACUACUAGGGACAUAAUGGACUCUGUAGUCAGAGUUAUGGCCAUGGCCAUAGACUACAGAAGGCAGGCCUGGCUUCGACUUACAUCUCUCACCAAGAAAACCCAGGAGAAGAUCUCCCACUUGCCCUUUGAUGGUACUUCCCUUUUUGGACAAGAUGUAAAAGCUGUUGUUGCAGAAGAGAGCAGUAUAAAAGAAAAUGACUAUAAAGAUCACAAUAAAUACUAUAAUCAGCAUCGAUACUUUUAUAGUCAUGAUCAGAAAGCACAUUAUCACAAUAGAGGAUACUCCAAAGGGGAUUGGUACAAACCUCGAAACCACCCCUAUAGAUACAGAAAGAAGGGAGAGUCUCCAGAACGCCAUGGGUAUAAGAAUUAAUAACCUGUUUUGUGUUCAGCAGGAUAGUCAUCCAAGAUCUUAACUAUUUUACUUGUUCCUCCUGUACAAACAGGAUCUACAGAUAGGAAAUCAUCUCAAAAACUAAAUGCAUGUCUGGAAUGAUCACAGCUGAUGUUUGAAUUCUAGACUUUUGAAAUGAAAUAUUAUAAUAAACUCAUGAUUUAUUGGCCAAGUGAGCAGUGGAGACUUUCUUGAAAGGAGGGUUGACCAGAUGUUAAUCCGUUAUUUCUGGUCCAAAAUAAGUUUGGAGGAGGACCACUCAGGAAUCUGAAUCCUCUUGUGAUUAAAGAAAAAUGUAAAGAUUUGUUCCUCAGGAAAAUCUUAUUUGUAAGCUGAGGACUAGCAGAUUUUGAAUCUAGAAAUAAUCUAAUACUAGAUCUCUGUUUACUGAGACCAGAAGUAAAUCCUUCAUUUUUAGGUUAUCAGUGCUUCCUUGUUUAGGCUUCAGUUUGACAGAUCUUCACAAAAUGACACAUCUGUUACAAUGUCUUUAUGUCAAGAUGGUCAACUCACCAAGAGUUCAUACUACUAUCAAGCUCUGUGAGACUUCAGAAUUAGCCAUGAAGCUUUGGGUCAACUAGAAUUCAAAUCAAAUUUUGCCAGAUCCAAUUUGCUUCCCUUUGGAAUGUCUAGAUGUCACAGGUCUACUAUGGACACCAAUCGGAAAAAGACUUCUACCUGUAACAUCUCUGUAGAAAUCGCACAGUAUCUUCAUCAAGACUUUGAUGGCCACCAUACCAUCACUACUCAUAAAGCUAUAUGUGAGAGAAUUCUUCGUUGUCAUCAAUCCUAAUAAUCUUUGACCUAUCAAGCUCUCAUAUCAAGCUGUAUGACUGAGUCAUGGUAGUCUCACUAUAAGCUGGGCCUUUCACCAAGAUGGCCUUCUUAAACAACCUACCUUCUAAACAUGUAAUUCUUUUGAGCUUGAUAGUGUAUCACACUCCUAAGUACAAAAAAGUUAUGCACAUCAGUGCCCUGGAAAUAAAGGAUGUUACACACACCAUCCAGGCAUGCAGAUCUGAACUCUUAAGAGCAAGAAUUCCAAACAUGCCUGACAAUCUUGUCCUCUUACUGUAAUAAAGAGGGAUACCAUCCAUCUAGAUUUUAUUGAGAAUCCUUAAGAUUUAAAGCAUAGCUGUGGAUGUAGUGAAGAGAACAAGCCACACAGUUCUGUUUCUGGAUAUCUAAGUGAUGAUAUCCAUUGAUUUGAAAGGCUGAAAUCAAGACUUAAGCGAUACAUUCUUGGUUAAUUGGUUAAUUUAGUCAGACUCCUACUGUAAUAGAUGGCUUAUCUUUUUGCUCCCAAUUGGUCCUAGUAAUAGUUUUUCACCGUACUGGAACUGGCAGCAGAUACCUCAAUUAUAUGUCCCACAGUAUCUUAUCUUUAGACUCAAGGUAGUGGAUGUAUGAUAUAUCAGCCCUUAGAUCCAUGUCAUCACAGUAUGACAUCAAGAAAGGAGAAUAUGUCAAGUUUGAGGGGUCUGAAUAUAUCACCUAGUAUUAUUUACUUUGCAGCCAAAAACAGUUGUUUUUCUUUUCAUUGACAGACUUAAAUACUGUAACUUCUGCAUUUUUUUCAUCUUGAUCAAGACAUUUUGUGUAUACUACUAAUGGAAUAUGGCACUAUUUUAUGGUUUAUGUGGUUUCUUUUCUUGCCAUAGUUCUUGCACAGUGGUAAUUGACAUUUUCUCUGGUGCCAUACUUUUUAAUAGUUUAUUGGAAGCUCAUUCCUACUGCCUCAUUGUAAUCAUAUUCAGCAUCCAUUUUUAAAUCUGCUUUUCUUCCUUAUUUGUGCUACAGUGGUUGAAGGCAUAAAUUUUCCUACUUGGAAGAAAUUAUUUUGUCAGAUAACUUCAGGAUACUGGUCUUGUUUGUCCUAUUUGUAGGUUAAACUUGAACUUUUCUUAAUAAAGAGGAUGUCAUUUUGCAAAUUUAGCCCAGUCAUAUAAAGAGUUAAUAUUUACCUUAUUUUCUUUUGUAUUUUACACAAAGUUUUAUUUCUACUUCUGUGGAAAUAGGUCCAUGCCAAUGUUCUCUACAAACUGUCUUUCAAACCAAAUUCUAGAAGAAUAUUGGUUACCUGAAAAGAAACAAAGGCCUGAGAAAUCAUACAUAGAUUUUUGUAGCUUAUGUGUACUCCACCAAUCAAGCAAUCUCAUAUGCUCUCGAUAUUGGCACUGUAGUUUUAUCUUAGAGGAUUUGCCACUAACAAGUUCCCUACUAGCUAAGGCUACUUCAGACUCUUUACUUUCCAUUUCUCCCCUUUUCCUUCCGUGAAUUAGAUGCUGUGUCAUAAACUUGGUGGUUUUUGAAAUACCCUUAUUUCAGACCUUAGACUAAACCAAAAUAAGUUAUGCCUGAAAAUGUGAUUGUCUGAAACUAUUUUGGCACUUCCCUUUAAUGUGCUUCUCCUCCCCUUCGCCUUUUAAAUUGUGGUUAAAAAAAAAAAAAGACACGUAAAGUUUAGCACCUUAACCAUUUUUUAAGCCUAUGGUAGUGUUGACUAUUCACAUUGUUGCACAGUUCCUCAGUUCUCAAAUAUUGGUAAGAAGAUGUUGCUGUUCUCUUUUCCUCUUGUGAUAUUUAUGUUGCUCAGUAAUUAAGUAAAAGUAUCCUUUCUUAGUUACUCUCACUGAUAUGCCCAAGUAUCUCUGAAUACUCUGUUUUACUCAAAGUGUAAAGGUAUUGGGAAAACAUCAAAUUGGUGACCAACAAGUUCUGAAAGGAUUUGAUAAGUUUAAUAGGGUUGGGGACAGAAUGCAGAUUAGGAGGAGUUUUUAGCUACAGAUUAGUUUCUUGACUGCAAAAGAAAUACCCUUAAUGUGUUUAUUUUUUAUUAUUUAAAAAUCUCUGGCAUACUUGAAUGAUGAUAAUGUUAUAAAACUUAAAGUGGGGAUUUGGUCUAGGGAGAUGACCCCAAUACAAUCAGAAACUCUUAAUUAGUCAGUUAAUAAAUAUUCAUAUUAUGCCUGCCAUGUGCAGAGCCUGCAACAAAAUUCUCUACUAGGCCCGCCUCUAAUGUUUAAAUACCUCUAGGUUUUCUAGGAGGCCUCGGAAUCGUUGCAAGUUUAAUGAUCUGGUAUUCUCAAAAAGGAUGUAUCUAAUGAUCUUUUUCCUUCAAAAUGUUAUUUCUUGAUUAGAUAUAAAAUGUAUACAGAGACAAUAUAGUUUCUUGUGGUUACUGUGUAUAGAGAAGUACUGUUUCCAUUUUUAUAUGAAGUGCCUUUUUAAAUUCUACCCUUUUCUUUAAAUCUUAAACUUUGAUGUCUUACAUAUAUUGCUGGUGAUAUUUAUGUGAGUUUUGUACAGUGAUUUAAUCUUGUACUUUAUUACUGUGUCAUUUGUACAAUUGCACUAUCUAAAUGUACUCCCUUCUGAAUGUUAAUUUGUUUUCUUUAUAGCACUGUUGAUUCAUUUCAGAAGGUUGUAGAAUACCUUCCUCCCCCUUAUUUAACUAACUAGACAGUAGUUUCUUUUCGUUAUUAGUGAGUGGCCAAUUCUGGGGGGGCCUUAAGGCAGCUUUGUUUUCUGUAGAUAUGUUCUAGGUUUUCUGAUUGUCUCAUAUCUAACCUUGUUUUUAGCCAUGGUAACACAACUUAUAUUUGAUAAGUGGAUGUGUUUACUUGGUUAGAAUAAGCAAGGACAUUUUUAAAAAGCAGUAAAUUUACUGACACUUUAUCUUUUUUUUUUUAAAAGACUGAAUGACAGCUUCCUUAUCAGUAUAAUUACAUUUAAACUUUUUUUUUUUAACUGUGUGGCAGCUUCUUUAUCAGUAUAAUUCCAUUUAUUUACUUAGCCCUCAAAAUGACAUUUUGAAGGGAGCAUAAACUCUUUCAGGCUACUUGGACACUGUUUAGUAUGCUGUAUUAAUACUACACUAAUAAUUUACUGAGUGAUACCUAAGUGACCUGAUUGAUAAUGUCCUUAAGGACCUGAUACAUCCAGGAUAACCUCUCAGGUAAUGUAAACAAGGAGGUUGAAAAAGACAUUCCAGAAUUCCAUUGUCUGGUAAAAUUGGGUACCAAGGUGGAUGGACAUGAUGUUCAUUAUUCUUGAAGAUACAACUAGUUGACUAGGAUUCUGAUGAAGACUUGAUAUUGUGGAUUAGAUCUUUGUAGAAAUUGUUUAAAGAUUGCAAUAAAUGAAACCUUUUUUUUUUGUUUGUUUUUGUUUUUGUUUUUGUUUGAAAUGGAAUUUCACUCUUGCCCAGGCUGGAGUGCAGUGGAGUGCUCACUGCAACCUCCACCUCCCGGGUUCAAGCAAUUCUUCUGCUUCAGCCUUCUGAGUAACUGGGAUUACAGGCAUGUGCACCAUGCCUGGCUAAUUUUAUAUUUUUGGUAGAGACAGGGUUUCUCCAUGUUGGUCAGACUGGUUUCAAACUCCUGACCUCAGGUGAUCGUCCCUCCUCGGCCUCCCAAAGUGCUGGGAUUGCAGGCAUGAGCCACUGUGCCUGGCUGUGAAAUCUUUUUUUUAUGUGAGGCAUAUUUUGCCGCAGUCUUGCACUGUUUAGGUUCUCUUGUCUUUUGGAAUUUACCAUUCUGUACUUAAUGUUAGUGGCUAGUCCAGUAAUUGAUUGUCUCAUCUGUAUGCAUCUUAUGCAUGUGAUUCAAUUGACUAGAUCAAUUCUGUAUGGUUUAUCAUAGUAGAUACACAAACCAGUCUUUAUUUUUUACUAAGAAAAUAUAUAGGUAGAAGUUAUUAGUAAACAUGAUUAUUGUAUUGAAUGUAAAUCUUUUUAUUUUUCCAGAUAUAUUGAGUUUUAUAAACCAUUAAAAAUUAUUUUAUGAAAUUUCCCUUCCUGGAUGAAGAGAAUAUUGUUUUAUUAAAUCUUAUCUUAUUAGUGGGAGAUAUUUGUACUUCUUUGUCUUUUCAUUUACUUGAUUUUUGUUGUAAUGGAAACUUUAGAAGUGUUUGGUACCAUUGAGAUAACUUAUUACUGGAAAUUUUGUUUGCUUCCUGUGGGAUAUAUCUGGAAGUGGUCACAGCCCAACCAUGUCCUUUUGAUGUUGUUAGCAUAUCAGUUAUUCUUUGUUUUGACCUUUUCUUCUCCCGUAUUCAGCACCUCUUUCUGAAAGAAUGUCUGAUCUUCCCAUAAUCUCUUCGAUGUAGAUUAUAUUUUUUAUUCUAUCAGUGUAUAUUAGGCAAGAUUUUGAUGUGGCUUUGUAUUGUAUAUUUAAAUACCAUGUCUUAAACAUUGUUAGAAGAGAUUUUCUAGUUUCUUCUAAUGUCCCUUUUCAAAAAAAUAUAGCCAGUCCAAUAUCUCAAACUGUACUUUGGUUUUUGAACUUAAAUCAACUUUUAGUGCUGCCUUGCUUAAUGGUAGUAUUACUUUCUCAUUUCUACAUGUUCACACAAAUUUGUUAUAUAUAGUUUAGAGUCAUAUGCAUCUUGUAAAAUUUUGAAGCCCAUCGCCACGGAUUUAUUAUAGUAUAGCUGUGAUAUAUUGUAUUUUAAAGUUUACCCAUUUUCUCUAGGUUUUAAGGGCUUUACAGGUUGAGGUAACUAUUUCAAAUGGUCUAUUGGGUGUUUUGAUACUUUGUCAAGAAUUCAAUAAGAAUUUUCAGGUUGUCUGUAUUUUCUUUUAGGACUUUGGAGAUCUUUCAAGUGGUGGUGUUUUCUUGUAUUCCUGAGUAUAUUCCUUUGGUUAAUGAAAGUAAAUAGCUUAUAUUUGGUGAUACUUUUAAAAAUUCUACUUUGACCUUAACUGCUUCAAGUAUUAUGUUAUAGGUUUAGUUAGGAAUCCUUUUGUAAGACUUAACUUUCGUAUGCUAUCUUUUCUCCAUGAGCUAUCAUAGUACUUUUUUCUUUCAUUACCUAUAAGAGUGGCUCUAUCACGGCAUUCACUUUUAAGGGCUACAGUUUGAUAGACCUCUUGUUAACUCCUACUUUUAUUUGUGAUGGCUAUGUUUCACACUACCUUGAUUUAUAAACGUAGUAAUGUGUUAAAUAAUUAUCAUGUUGUGGUCCCUUAACACCUCUUUUGAUUGGUGGGGUAACAGUGAUGUGGAUGAUGAGAUAAAAUAAUAAAAACAUUUACCCAAGUCACUAAACACAGUUUUCAAUUCAUUUUUUUUACAUAUUAAUUUACAUUUAACUACUGUUAGGUAUUCAGCCCAUUCCUUUCUGCCUUCAGUAGAGUAUAGUUAUAUAAGUAGUUUCAUUUAGAUUCUUGGCACAGACAGAGUGGCUUGUAUAUUGAUCUUUCUUUAAUGGCUUAGAACAACUUCUAUGUAUUCUAACAGGUCUUGGAAGCAUGUUUAUAGCCUUGUGUCUAAUUGUCAUCUUCCUGCCUGGAAAGACAGUAGAAGAAAGAAUCUACAUUUGCAUAGCCUAUAGUACAGGCUCUGUGCUGGUUACAAGGCACUCUUGAGAGAGAAAUUCAUUGUUACUUUGCAGAUGAAGAACUGAAACUUAAAAGAGUUAUUAAGCAACUUGCUCAGGUGGUGGAACUGACUUUAAUACAGACUUUAAAUACAGACUUUUUCCAAUCUCAAUUUGACAUUAUACUAGGCUGCCUCCAUGUGUUUUUCAAAACCCCAUUUAAAUCUUCUAUGGUAAAUUAAUUUUACAUAAACAAUCUUGUUCUUUUCAGAACUUUGUUUAUGGCUUUACUGUCACCCCAUUAGUAUUUGAUGUCUUAUAUUAACUGAAUCCUGAUUAUUUCACUUGUCAUAUCAGGAACCUUAUCCUGUUAGUUCUUCUACUGAGGUUUCACUGUGCUGGACUGUUUAUUAUUGAUUCAUAGUCACUGGUUUCUGUUUCCAUUCAUUUUCAGCACUAUGUUAACCCUAUUGCUUGUGUUUUUUCUUUGUUCUGACUUAUUACAUUCAUUUUGUUUCAUAUAUAUACUUACCUUUUUUUUUUUUCUUAAACUGCCAUUUUGAGGUUAUUGGUUUAAUGGAAGGAAAAUUGAAUGGUAUAAAGCACAUGGUAUUUGAAUUCCAAAGGCCUUGAUCCUCAGUAUUAGCAAGUCACUUAUUCUCUUAGCCUCAGUUUUCCUACUCUUAAAUGAGGUAAUAUCCAAAAGUACUUUGAAAACACUAAAGCCUGAUGUAGAUUUCCUUUUUUAAGUAAUUGUACUGUUUCUAUUCAUAUUUAUAGAUUUCUUGUAACUGUAGGAUGGUAUUGGAUAUAGAUACAUAUAUUUUAAAAUGUAUUUGACAGCAUGUAAAUGUUUAUUUCAUGCCAUGUUAUCAUAUUCCCCCUUUUAUGUUUUUUAAGGCUAUCUUACAAGCCUAACAGUGUACUAAGUCAUUAAAAGAUAUAUUUAAAGUAAAAUAGUCUCUUUUCUCAAGUACAAGCUAAGAAAUGCUCAUAAUAAACAAUAAUAAGAGAAUGUAGAAUGAAGAACUAGAGUGUAUAUGUAUGUGUAUAUGAUUUUUGAUAGAUGGUAUUUUGUUACUUUAUAUCUGUUGAAAACAAUCUUUGUCAAACAUCUUUUACAGUACCUGCUAUGCGCAGGCAGGUACUGAGAGAGGUCUGAGAAUACUGAGGGUUAAUAAGAGAUGGUAUAUUCUCAAGAGAAAUAAAUACCAAUAAAGUAUAAGAGCAGCUGUCCUGUUUGGAAGAAUGCCUGUGGUGAUGGAACAAAAAAGGCCAUAUAGGGGGGUGAGGGAAGCUUUUCUUACCAAGUUCAUGAGCUGAGUUUUGGAGGAUGAUUAAGCAAAAGUUAGUUGGCCUGGUAGAGAAACAGGAGCCAGGCAUUCAGGUGGAGGAACAGGAGUGUGCAACAGUGUGGUGAACAUAAUGGGGUGUGUCUGAUUUCAGAAUGAUAAGAAAUAGUGUUUAGGGAGAACAGAAAUGAAGGAGACUAAACAGAAAGAAAGGUGAUAAAUUAUCCAUGAAUAUGUAUUAGUUCCUACAUAUUCAAAGUGUGCUAAGUUUGUGUAGCCAUUACUUGUAAGGCUCUAGAAGUUAUCUGUCUAGGGGUUACUUUGUACUAUAGUCCAGUAUGUACAUCCAGAACAAUUCUUUCCCAGAACUGAGCCCACGAAGGGCUUUCAGCAGUUCACCUCUGACUCGGGCAGCUCAAGCAAUCAGAAAGAACUGAGGUUCUGGUAGAAAACAACUCCGAGGAUUAGCAGGGUAAUGCCUCUGAAGUGGAAUGUGGUAUCACUUCAUUGUUAAAUGGUUGCAUAGUUCACAGUCACCUCUGGAAAGGUGUCCUCCACGGUAGCUAAAAGUAGUUAAUUGCCCUGUGUUUUGAUUUACAGAUAAUUUCUAGGUAGACUUGGGGAAAAUAAAGAUACUUAGAAAAAUAUUGCUUCAUUGGCAUUUGGAGGUGUUGUAUUGGAAGUGUGUUCAUAAUCACCAGAAUCCUCUUUAGAUGAUAAAGAUAGGAAACCAGGUUGUAGACCUUAUGCCAGUAAUAUCUCUAGCAGCUCCAACACAUUUUGUCAACUUCCCAUUUGUUUUUUUCUCUUAAGUUUCUUUCCUUGCCGUUGGCCACCUUUGCCUUAAAAAAAGAAAAAAAGUCUCACUGUGGUGCCCAGGCUAAGUGUAGUGGUGCAAUCUCGGCUGACUGCAACGUCUGCCUCCUGGGUUCAAGUGAUUCUCCUGCCUCAGCCUUCCAAGUAGCUAGGAUUACAGGCAUGUGCCACCAUGCCUGGCUAAUUUUUUGUAUUUUUAGUAGAGAUGGAGGGGGGCGGUUUCGCCAUGUUGGCCAGGCUGGUCUCAAACGCCUGACUACAAGUGAUCCUCGGCCUCGGCCUCUCAGAGUGCUGGGAUUACAGGUGUGAGCCACAACCACACCAGGCCCCACUCCCUUUUUUACUUUUAUCUUCUCUAUAGUUCAUCUUUUUUUUUUUCCUUCUGUGUCAGUGGCAGAACAGUGCCACUCAGGGUAAAGAAAUUGUAACUCCCUUUGGCUUUGUCACACUUCAUAUUCAGAGUUAAUGUUUUGUUUUAUUUUGGAGACCAAGUCUCGCUCUGUCACCCAGGUUAGAGUACAGUGGUGUGAUCUCGCCUCACUGCAUCCUCCGCCUCCCAGGUUCAAGUGAUUCUCCUGCCUUAGCCUCCCGAGUAGCUGGAACUGCAGGCACCCACCACCACGCUCGACUAAUUUUUAUAUUUUUAGUAGAUAACGAGAUUUCAUCAUGUUGGCUAGGCUGGUUUUGAACUCCUAACCUCAAGUGAUCUACCCACCUCAGGUGAUCCACCCGCCUCAGCCUCCCAAAGUGCAGGGAUUGUAGGUAUGAGCCACUGCACCUGGUCAUAUAUUUUAAAAUUCUCAUAAGUUCCAAAGUUGUAUUAUUAUUAUUAUUAUUGUUAUUUUUGGUCUUGUAUUGAAGGAAGAUGAAAGUCAUUUUCCUAAAAGGAUUUUUAUAGAAAUAGAUGUUGGCAAUUUACUCAAAUGUUAAUAUAGGAAAAUCUUUUUUAACAGGUUUGCUGGGACUAGCCUUCUUAACUGAAUAAGAUGCAGCAUUUCUGUCUAUAUUGUGGAGGAUGGAUAUUAAACAUAUUUUUAUAAGAAGAAUGUUAAACGUAAAGACCAUAUUGAUCAUCAGAAGGAUAAAGUUGCUUUAACUCUGGCUCGUCUAGCCCGCCAUGUUGAAGUGGAGAAACAGCAGAAAGAAGAGAAGAAUAGAGCAUUCAGAG